GCGCGAGUGGUGAAAUUGGCAGACACGCUAGAUUUAGGCUCUAGUGCUUUGCGGCGUGAGGGUUCGAGUCCCUCCUUGCGUACCA
rnacentral:tRNA from 1 species